GUAUUGCUCAGUUGGUGGAGCAUGGUGCUUUCAACGCCAGGGUUGUGGGUUCCAUUCCCACAGGGUACC
rnacentral:tRNA from 1 species